AGCAGCCGCGGUAAUUCCAGCUCCAAUAGCGUAUAUUAAAGUUGUUGCAGUUAAAAGCUCGUAGUUGAAUUUCGAGACCGGCUUACUGGUCGUGCUAUUGUGCGUACUGGUAUAAUCGGUUUCUCCUUUCUGACGAACUAUAAUACCAUUAAUUUGGUGUUAUAGGGAAUCAGGACUGUUACUUUGAAAAAUUAGAGUGUUUAAAGCAGGCUCACGCUUGAAUACAUUAGCAUGGAAUAACGGAAUAGGACGUUUGAUUCUAUUUUGUUGGUUUCUAGGAUUGACGUAAUGAUUAAUAGGGAUAGUUGGGGGCAUUAGUAUUCAAUUGUCAGAGGUGAAAUUCUUGGAUUUAUUGAAGACUAACUACUGCGAAAGCAUUUGCCAAGGAUGUUUUCAUUAAUCAAGAACGAAAGUUAGGGGAUCGAAGACGAUCAGAUACCGUCGUAGUCUUAACCAUAAACUAUGCCGACUAGGGAUCGGAUGAUGUAUUUUUUAAUGACUCA
rnacentral:rRNA from 1 species